GUGGGUUGCUGCCACGGCACGGUUUGUUUAUCUGCUAUUCAUAUGAGGCUGUCACACUCGAUUUAAGGUCAUAGGUCUUCCAAGUCAGGGUCAAUAUCAGCCAGCCAUUUUAAGGAAGACUGAUAUAUUGCCUGGUCUUUAACGGGAAGUGUGAAAUAGCGGAGAACGUGCACCUGGGCUAUGAUGAUCACUGGCAUCUGGUCUUCUGCCUCCUUUUGCACGAGAGGCGCCAGCGGUUUAUGACAAACAGAAGAAAUCAGAACAGCGAGGUUCGUUACAUCGUUGAUCAUCUGGCUCUGAGUACGCAGGGGUAUAGGGACCGCUUAACGCCGGGCACAGCUUGCUCCGUGGCACCGCACCCACAACUACGACAAAGCCGAAGGAAGCUGAGGCCGCAGGAAAAUUCUGGAGUAAAUGGGGGUUGCGGGCACCAGACUGGAAAGCAUCUGAAUAGCAGAGCGGAGCGGCAAAACCAGGAAGGUGUGUUUUGCUUCAGGCUUAGCGCUUGCAUUCUUGCACGUUCUUCCGAAGUCAGGUACAGGUUCCUCAAAUUUGAGUUUGCAAGAACGGCGUGAGUUCAUCUACACAGAAGGAAUUUGAUAUCCCUCCUGCUCCUGGAGAAAGAAAAAAAAAAAAGUGCCAAUUAAUUCUGACUUGGGAUUUGCCUUUACAUUUGAUCUACUUGAGAAUUCACAAGGAAAGCUUCCUGUGAGGAAAGCUAAGAAACGCUCCCAGGGAAAAAGCACUGUUGUAACUCUCCCGCUUCCUAAAGGGAUCAAGGCAGAACUCUUCUUAAUGCACGUUCUAUAAAAGAAACGGAGGGCCUACCUAAUACAACCUCCUCAGGCUUCAAUUUUUCGGCCCAGCCUACAUAACAAGAGGAUCCCUCCCCGCGUUGAUCUGCUCUUCUCCUUUCUAAUUUCUUUUAUGUCUUUUAUGACUUGCUUGCACUUAGAAAGAAGAGUCCCUUCCCGUGUUGCUACAGCACGAGGCUUUGGCAUUUAAGCUGCUCGCGUGGUACAAAACCGGGGAGCUUGGAUGAGAGGCAUUGGAAGAGCAACUUGAAAUUCCCCUCGGAUGACUCGCGUGGCACAAGCUUCAUAGAUGGCCAGCAGCAGGGACGCUGCUCCGAAACCUUCGUGAAAUCUGACCGCCACGUUGCAACACAGCAGGAAUUAGAGAUUUAAAAGGCUUUCCCUUCAGGUUGCGUCUUCGGUGUUCCCUAAAACUCUACCUCAACUUUACCUGAAGUCUCCACUUCCAUCCCAUCUCCCCUCCGUCUUCGUUUAAAUCAGCAGCUUGGGCUGGACGCUGCUGGAAUAAUGACUGCACCCAAGACUUUCAUCACACACUGCUGACUUUUCAAUCCGGAUCCGAUUGCGGUUAAGAAGAAGAAGAGGCAGUCACGUUUUUCUUCCGUUUGACGACUGGGGGGGCAUAUCGUAUUUGUUUCUGAGGUUUUGUUUUUCAUUUAUAUAAUUAUUUGCCAGCAACACACCAUCAUGCCCUUUGUUUUGUUUCAGCUUGAUUCCCUUGUCCUUAUGCGAUAUUGUUAUAGGCACAAAGCGUCCCAGUUUUUUAACGCUUCAUCAUUUAUUAAUGCCGCAGAUUGUGGGAUGAAGGGUUGUCAGCAUUGUGGUUUUUUUGUUGUUGUUGUAUUGGGGCAUACAGUGUCUGCACAGAA